rnacentral:misc_RNA from 1 species
CCAAUAGCGUAUAUUAAAGUUGCUGCAGUUAAAAAGCUCGUAGUUGAAUUUCGGGAUCAAUAUGUUGGUCGUGCCUUGGUACGUACUAGCUUAUUGAUUUCUUCCUUCUGACGAACCAUGAUGUCAUUAAUUUGGUGUCUUGGGGAAUCAGGACUGUUACUUUGAAAAAAUUAGAGUGUUUAAAGCAGGCGCACGCUUGAAUACAUUAGCAUGGAAUAAUGAAAUAGGACGUUUGAGUCUAUUUUGUUGGUUUCUAGGAUAGACGUAAUGAUUAAUAGGGAUAGUUGGGGGCAUUAGUAUUAAAUUGUCAGAGGUGAAAUUCUUGGAUUUAUUGAAGACUAACUACUGCGAAAGCAUUUGCCAAGGAUGUUUUCAUUAAUCAAGAACGAAAGUUAGGGGAUCGAAGACGAUCGGAUACCGUCGUAGUCUUAACCAUAAACUAUGCCGACUAGGGAUCGGAUGAUGUUAAUUUUUUAAUGACUCAUUCGGCGCCUUACG